UAUGGCCAUAUCACGUUGAACACAUCUGUUCUAGUCCGAUCACCGAAGUUAAGCAACGUCGAGCCUAGUCAGUACUUAGGUCGGUGACCACUUAUGAAUAGCA